UUCAUUUCUUUAGUAGCAUAAGACGUGGCAUAUUCAGGGUUUAAUAACUUUGAUAGUUUGACACUUCAAAAAAUGACGAAAAACUUAUCGAAGAUUUUGAGUAUCGUCUUAAUUUUGGGAGUUAUCAUGGCUCCAGAAGUCGAGUCAAUUUGGGGUUUGCAAUAUUCCUGCCAGUAUACGGGCAGAAUUGCGACAUUUUCAUAUAACGAUGGGUGCAAUUCGAUAACCUGUCCUUGUUUUGGAAACCAGGAAUGUUCCCCUCCCUACAUUGCAUGUCAGACCAGCAGAAAUGGUGGAAUAGAUGUAAAAUAUCAAGCUAGCAGACAUUGCUGUUAAAAAUAAAUUAUUACAAAUGAUAAAAAAUCACCAAUAAACAAUUUUAUUGAUUUCCUUUUAAAUAAAGUAAAUUGUACUUUCA